rnacentral:rRNA from 1 species
UACGUAGGUGACAAGCGUUGUCCGGAUUUACUGGGCGUAAAGAGCGCGCAGGCGGUCGAUCAAGUCGAGUGUGAAAGCCCCCGGCUCAACUGGGGAGGGUCAUUCGAUACUGAUCGACUCGAAGGCAGGAGAGGGUAGUGGAAUUCCCGGUGUAGUGGUGAAAUGCGUAGAUAUCGGGAGGAACACCAGUGGCGAAGGCGGCUUCCUGGACUAAUACUGACGCUGAGGUGCGAAAGCGUGGGGAGCAAACAGG